AACGAACGCUGGCGGCAGGCUUAACACAUGCAAGUCGAACGAAGUCUUCGGACUUAGUGGCGCACGGGUGAGUAACACGUGGGAAUAUACCUCUUGGUGGGGGAUAACGUCGGGAAACUGACGCUAAUACCGCAUACGCCCUUCGGGGGAAAGAUUUAUCGCCGAGAGAUUAGCCCGCGUCCGAUUAGCUAGUUGGUAAGGUGAUGGCUUACCAAGGCGACGAUCGGUAGCUGGUCUGAGAGGAUGAUCAGCCACACUGGGACUGAGACACGGCCCAGACUCCUACGGGAGGCAGCAGUGUGUAAUAUUGGCCAAUGGGGGCAACCCUGAUCCAGCCAUGCCGCGUGAGUGAUGAAGGCCCUAGGGUUGUAAAGCUCUUUCGGGUGGGACGAUGAUGACGGUACCACCAGAAGAAGCCCCGGCUAACUUCGUGCCAGCCGCCGCGGUAA
rnacentral:rRNA from 1 species